rnacentral:tRNA from 1 species
GAGGGUAUAAUCAGUGGUAGAGUGGAUGCCUAGUAUGCAUGAGGUCCUGGGUUCAAUCCCCAGUACCUCCG